rnacentral:rRNA from 1 species
CAGCAGCCACGGGAAUACGUAGGGUGCGAGCGUUGUCCGGAAUUAUUGGGCGUAAAGGGCUCGUAGGCGGUUUGCCGCGUCGGGAGUGAAAACCCAGGGCUUAACUCUGGGCUGGCUUUCGAUACGGGCAGACUAGAGGUAUGCAGGGGAGAACGGAAUUCCUGGUGUAGCGGUGAAAUGCGCAGAUAUCAGGAGGAACACCGGUGGCGAAGGCGGUACUCUGGGCAUUACCUGACGCUGAGACGCGAAAGCCAGGGGAGCGAACGGGAUUAGAUACCCCCGUAGUCCCUGUCUCUUAUAC